rnacentral:rRNA from 1 species
UGGGGAAUUUUGGACAAUGGGCGAAAGCCUGAUCCAGCAAUGCCGCGUGUGUGAAGAAGGCCUUCGGGUUGUAAAGCACUUUUGUCCGGAAAGAAAUCCUCUGGGUUAAUACCUCGGGGGGAUGACGGUACCGGAAGAAUAAGCACCGGCUAACUACGUGCCAGCAGCCGCGGUAAUACGUAGGGUGCAAGCGUUAAUCGGAAUUACUGGGCGUAAAGCGUGCGCAGGCGGUUUGCUAAGACCGAUGUGAAAUCCCCGGGCUCAACCUGGGAACUGCAUUGGUGACUGGCAGGCUAGAGUAUGGCAGAGGGGGGUAGAAUUCCACGUGUAGCAGUGAAAUGCGUAGAGAUGUGGAGGAAUACCGAUGGCGAAGGCAGCCCCCUGGGCCAAUACUGACGCUCAUGCACGAAAGCGUGGGGAGCAAACAGGAUUAGAUACCCUGGUAGUCCACGCCCUAAACGAUGUCAACUAGUUGUUGGGGAUUCAUUUCCUUAGUAACGUAGCUAACGCGUGAAGUUGACCGCCUGGGGAGUACGGUCGCAAGAUUAAAACUCAAAGGAAUUGAC